UUAAGUUAGAAGUAAUAACCUGCUAUGAAAUUGAAAGCUCCUUGGCAAGUAUCGUCCUUGUUUCGUAAACUCGGUCCGAGUUUUCAGGAGUUUUGUUGUUUUUACCAAAGUUUUUCUAAACUGUAUGAAGGUGCUCUGCAUUGUGAAGAAUUGAAUUAAACAGAGGGAUCUUAUGGAGGCGAAGUAGCAGCGGAAUUAACUACGAUUGGAUAUACAUAUAUAAAUAACUGAGACACGAUGGGCAACACACCUACAGUUAAAAAGGGCAACGAACCUCAGGAAGCGUCAGGUAGGAAUGGAGCUUCGCAAGUCGUCAAGGAGUUCUUGGAAAAAGCUAAGGAGGAUUAUGAAGAAAAGUGGAAGAGAAAUCCUUCGAAUACAGCAGCGUUAGACGAAUUUGACAGAAUAAAAACCCUUGGGACAGGAUCAUUUGGCAGAGUCAUGUUGGUGCAGCACAAAGCCUCCAAGGAAUAUUACGCCAUGAAGAUUCUAGACAAACAAAAAGUGGUGAAACUUAAGCAAGUAGAACACACUCUGAAUGAGAAGAAGAUCCUGCAAGCCAUCAGUUUCCCAUUUUUAGUCAGCCUUAAGUUCCAUUUCAAGGACAACUCAAACCUCUACAUGGUAUUGGAGUAUGUACCUGGAGGCGAGAUGUUUUCUCACCUCCGCAAGGUGGGCCGAUUCAGUGAACCCCAGUCGAGAUUCUACGCUGCACAAAUUGUGCUUGCUUUUGAGUACCUCCACUACCUGGACCUCAUUUAUCGAGACCUCAAGCCAGAAAACCUGCUCAUCGACAACACAGGUUACCUGAAGGUGACUGAUUUUGGUUUUGCUAAAAGAGUCAAAGGCAGGACGUGGACUCUUUGUGGAACACCAGAAUAUCUUGCACCUGAGAUCAUCCUCAGCAGAGGAUACAACAAAGCGGUCGAUUGGUGGGCGCUAGGCGUUUUGGUCUAUGAAAUGGCAGCAGGAUACCCGCCUUUCUUUGCUGACCAGCCUAUUCAAAUUUACGAGAAAAUUGUAUCUGGAAAGGUUCGCUUUCCAUCACACUUCAGCUCGGAACUGAAAGACCUGCUGCGCAACCUGCUUCAGGUUGACCUCACCAAGCGUUAUGGCAACCUGCGUAACCACGUCAAUGACAUCAAAAACCACCGCUGGUUCCAGUCCACUGACUGGAUCGCAGUCUUUCAAAAAAGGGUAGAGGCGCCGAUGCGACCGAAAGUGCGCUUUGCCGGUGACACGACGCACUUCGCCGAUUACAAAGAGAGCAGUUCAUUGUUCGACAUUUCAGCGACGCCUAUGUUCACUAACGAAUUUCUUGAUUUCUAACACAAUCACACUCCUACACAUAACUCUUGUUCAACUCGGCUCCUGCAUGCUUUUUGGUGGAAGCACCGUUUGCUCCACGAUGCAAGGGACCAGGGGACACAAGCAACUUUGACGAUUACGAAGAAGAAGCCCUGCGAAUAUCUUCCACCGAAAAGUGUGCAAAGGAGUUUGCCGACUUCUAAAUUGAUCAGCCAAAUGAAAACUAUCUGUCUCCUCUACCUGCUUCAGACAACAAAAAUCAGCACAGUUAACAAACCUGGUUAAUUUCCAAGAGCAGCAGUCAAUUUUUGCGAGGUCAAUAUCCUGAUUUUAUUGAGGCAUCAGACUCUUGUUGAUUGUUUUCUAUUGGUUUUUUGUUGAUUUUGCUUCUUGCUAGUACAGUUGAAGAGAAAAGUGUACAUAAAGUUAUUAUCAUUACUAUUCUACAAAAUAGGGAGCAGAAUUACACAAAGAAAUGAUGAAGUGCGCCUCACUGCGCGUAGCCUGUAACUCGUAAUGGCACCAACUAGACUAAUACACCUAAAUUAUUAUUUAUAAUUUCUAAGCAUGAGAAAGUAGAUUUGUUUGUUGAUGCAACUGUGUCUCGGAAGCUAAUUUUUUUUAGUCAACGUGCAUAUCAUAUUUAUUUCAACUUCAGACGGAGGUCCAAUAUACUUAUUUCCUGAAUGGGUUUUUUGAAGAUCGGAAAUUCUGUUGGUGGAAAAAGUUACAUGCUUCUGAGGAUUGAUUGUAUUUGGCUGUUCUGAUUGUGAGUGAGUCUGGAUUAUGAGCGCAGCUUAACCAUGUGAUAAUUUGGACAAUUAGCCCUGUUAGAAAGUUGAAGAACAUGUGGAGUAUAACCUGUUUGCAUAUUGCGCUUGAGUUAACCUUAUCACAAUAAUUACUUGUUAAAAUGUUUGCGAUUGAUUGCACUCGAGUCUCAAGCACAAUAAUUUACCAUAUUCAAAGCCAUGAACUUUAGUUGUAGAGCCUUUCAAAUUACCAUACUUGAAUACCAAAGGUACCCUUAUUUCACCUUCAUUUUUUUGUGAUUUUUGUCAAAAGCCUGCUGAUAUCAAGAGAAAUUCGCACAACGGAAGUCCGUCUUGAAUUCAAUAUUAUCGUUUCUACAGUGCAAAGUCGUGCUCAAUUUGGCCUACCAUCAUCAGAUUUUACAAAAACAUUUUUAAGUGGCAUUCAGUGGUACUAAAUUUUUUGUUACAUCGAAUGCGAUUUCUUUAAAAAGAGAGACUCAACAAAUGGUACAAUUCAAGGAAUUGAAAGAAAACUAAUUCUAAUAACAAGGAAAUCUUGAUUUCAGCUGGUGCUUGAAAGCCAAUUUUUAAUAUAAUACAUUUUAUUUUUAUUAAACCGUUCACAUUAAGAAUUUUGAAAUUAAAUAAACACCUGCUAACGUGCUAUUUAAUUGAUUGAAGAAGUUGAAGUAAAUUUAAUCUUAUUAAUUAUUGAUAUGCCAUUAUUAGGUGGUGAUGAUGAAAAAAUAUUGUAACAAAUCAAUGCACUCAUUGUGAUGGGGUGGGGGUUUUUGGAAUGAUAGAAAAAGAUGAUUCUUGUUGAGCAAAA